UCUCACCUGUGUGGAUCACUCUGAGUGUGUUCAGUCUCUCUGUUUCUCCUCUCCUGUGUCAGCUCUUCAUAAAUCUUCCCUGAAUGUUUCUCUGAGUCUUUUGGCUUCUCCAGAGAUUCUUCAGAUUUUUUGUUCAAGAAGAGGAACCAUCCAGAGGGAAAGGAAGGAACACGACACAGAAGUACCAAAGACUGCAGUUCCCUGAGUGUCCACUAGAGGCCGACUUCCAAACAUGACAUCAUCUUUUACAGCACACAGGUACGGCUUCAAACACACCGGAUCUCUCCUUUCACACCUGAAGCUGCUGUAAAAUAAAAUAAAGCUGGGAGAGGAUUUCACGUACCGUCUGAUAAACAGAAGUCUCUGGGGAUCUUUGGGAGUCUAAUAUUUACAACUGGAAAUCUGUACACAACACAAAACCUGGUCUGACACAGCUCACAGCUGAUAUUUACAGAUUGGAGACGUGCUGAGAAAGACAUCUGAAGCUUCCAAACCCACAGAGGCAUGAUGGGAGAGCACAGAACCCUCCGCUCAGUGACUGACGCCUGGAGACACGAGCAGAGAUAAAUCCUGUUUAGCACUUCUUUUGCUUCAUGGAUGUCAGCUCUGAGUAUCUCAGUCAGCACGCAGGGCGGCCUCUCACUCCUCACAGAGCAGCCAUCCAUGAUUCAGGAUCUAUAUUUGAUGAGGAAGAUUACACUCAAAGCUGGCCUGCAUGUUUUAUCUGAACACCUCCGGUAUACGCAGAGAUUUGGAAACUCAUCCAAACGAAGUAAACAUGAGCGCACUCAGAGAGACGGAGAGGGAGAGGAGAGGGGAUUCUCUGCAGCAGGAGGAGUGAAGACAAAUACUCAGCAAGUGCAUGAGUUCCUGUCUCCCAUAGCAAGACAGAUGUUUCCUAACAACAUGUGACUUUAUUAUUUCAUGGAUGUCACAGAUUAAACCAUCAGUCCUGCAGGUCACUUGUCUUCAGAGUGAAGUCUGUCGUCCUCCUCUCUGCAGAUAACACUUCCUGUCGCUCUGAUUUUGUCUCUCAGGCUAAAAAAGCAUUUUGAAUGUAAAUGAGAUUUUGGUGUAAACAAACAAUAAAUCAAUAACCUGACUGCUUUCAAUGUAGAGCACGCAACCAAGGAACACCAAGCAAAGAAACAGGGAGAUAAA